AGCAGUAGCCGCGGGAAAACGUAGGGGGCAAGCGUUAUCCGGAUUUACUGGGUGUAAAGGGAGCGCAGGCGGUGCGGCAAGUCUGAUGUGAAAGCCCGGGGCUCAACCCCGGGACUGCAUUGGAAACUGUCGUACUUGAGUAUCGGAGAGGUAAGUGGAAUUCCUAGUGUAGCGGUGAAAUGCGUAGAUAUUAGGAGGAACACCAGUGGCGAAGGCGGCUUACUGGACGAUAACUGACGCUGAGGCUCGAAAGCGUGGGGAGCAAACAGGAUUAGAUACCCGAGUAGUCCCUGUCUCUUAUAC
rnacentral:rRNA from 1 species